ensembl:snRNA U6 U6 spliceosomal RNA
AUGCUCACUUCAGCAGCACAUAUACUAAAAUUGAAACGAUACAGAGAAGAUUAUCAUGGCCCCUGCACAAGGACGACACACAAAUUCCUGAAGCGGUCCAUAUUUAA